rnacentral:rRNA from 1 species
AGCGAACGCUGGCGGCAGGCCUAACACAUGCAAGUCGAACGAAGUCUUCGGACUUAGUGGCGGACGGGUGAGUAACACGUGGGAACGUACCUUUUGGUUCGGAACAACUCAGGGAAACUUGAGCUAAUACCGGAUGAGCCCUUAGGGGGAAAGAUUUAUCGCCGAAAGAGCGGCCCGCGUUAGAUUAGCUAGUUGGUGAGGUAAAGGCUCACCAAGGCUACGAUCUAUAGCUGGUCUGAGAGGAUGAUCAGCCACACUGGGACUGAGACACGGCCCAGACUCCUACGGGAGGCAGCGGUGGGGAAUCUUGCGCAAUGGGUGAAAGCCUGACGCAGCCAUGCCGCGUGAAUGAUGAAGGUCUUAGGAUUGUAAAAUUCUUUUACCAGGGACGAUAAUGACGGUACCUGGAGAAAAAGCCCCGGCUAACUUCGUGCCAGCCGCCGCGGUAAGAC